CAGCAGCCGCGGUAAUACCGGCGGCCCGAGUGGCGGUCACUAUUAUUGGGCUUAAAGCGUCCGUAGCCGGGUUGGGAAGUCCUCCGGGAAAUCUGGCCGCUUAACGGUCAGAAUGCCGGAGGAUACUCCCAGCCUAGGGAGCGGGAGAGGCCGAGGGUAUUCCCGGAGUAGGGGGGAAAUCCUAUAAUCCCGGGAGGACCACCUGUGGCGAAGGCGCUCGGCUGGAACGGGUCCGACGGUGAGGGACGAAGGCCAGGGGAGCAAACCGGAUUAGAUACCCGGGUAGUCCUGGCUGUAAACGAUGCGGACUUUGUGUCGGACAAGCUAUGAGCUUGUCCGGUGCCGGAGGGAAACCGUUAAGUCCGCCGCCUGGGGAGUACGGCCGCAAGGCUGAAACUUAAAGGAAUUGGCGGG
rnacentral:rRNA from 1 species